UGCCGCUUGUUCGCCGUGCUCCGACUACCAUCUUUCACAGCCACGGCGCACGCGAUCAACAGCUUUGAACCGUCGAUCCCAGAUCGAACGGAUCGGGCCGAAACUCCGGUCGCCAGCUGGACAUCCCCCGCCCACACAUCCACCACCGCCACAGCGCCACUCGCUUCUUCCCUCGCUGUCCUGGUGCUCCUCCGCUCCGCUCCUCCCCCAUGGCGGCACACGCCGGGACCCUAGCUCCACCCCUCCCCCUCCCCCUCCCACUCCGCCUCCCGCCUCGCCCGCACCCCCGCCCCAGACUCCUCAACCCAGCCUCCUCCUCCUCCUCGCUCCUCCCGCGAGCCCGCCGCCUCGCGGUCGCCUGCGCGGCCUCCGGCGGGGACGGCGGGCCCCCGGCGGAGGGGGACAAGGAGCGGAAGGGCCCGGCCCUCCCGGCGCUCUCGGAGAUCCGGUGGGGCGACCUGCUGUCCCCGGAGCCCGCCAACGCCACGACCGUCGUGCUCACCGGCGCGCUCGCCUGGGCCGGCGCCUCGCUGCUGCUGCAGCUCCUGCUCAUCUUCGCCACCAUCUUUGCCGCCGCCAUCAAGUACUCCUUCGUCGCCGCGAUCCUACUUUUCAUCCUCAUCGCGCUCCUCUGACCGCCUUCGUCGCCCAGGUGCCCCUCCUUCCUCCGCGGCCGUCCGCUUUUCUCCGCUGUACACUCAGAGCAGCCUAGAGCUGCUUGCUCGCGCCUCCUAAACCACUGGAACCGUUUCAAAAUCGCAUUUUGGUAGCCACAAAAUACAGUACCCUUCAAUGCAUAUGUGUUAUUCAUUACAACGUGCUGUCUGAAACCUGAAUGAUCAAACCAUGAAUAAUCAUGUAUGUCCUGUAGACAAUACGCCAAAUAGUGGCAACAACUAUUGUUUCAGAACAAUUAUAUUGUGAAUAAGCAACUCUCAUCUGCAUCAUAAUGUGUUGAAUAUGAAGAUCCAGAAAAGACUGAGCAGUUGCUCAUAAAUUGAUUCUGUUCAUUCACCUAGCAAUUUGAAAUUAAAAGGUCAGCAAGCUUUGCCGUUAUUAUUUUGUACCUUUGUAAUGAAAUUAAUCCUACAUUUGCAAUCAAAUGGAGGAUGCAAUGCAACUUCUCUAUAGAUGUAGUCAUGUAGGGUUUGUUUUUCUAGUUGCUAAUUUGCUACCUCUCAAAGGUUGGUGAUUUGCAUUAAACCCUGAAUUUUAGGAUUCAAAUUUAUGAUUUAUCUCUUCCGCCUAAUUAUGUAUUUUAAAUUUUAGUUUGCAGUUCAUGUUAAAUAUGUAUGCAAGUGCUCAGGAUUUUAGAAUUGCAUUUUAAAAUUCUUAACCCAUUCCCUCUCCUAAAUAUGUACUUUGAAUAUGAGCUUGCAGUUUAUGCUAUCUUUAAAAGCACAGUGCCUAUUAUGUAAGGCCAAGGAUCUCAUCAUUUCGGAACAAAUAUUACAAAAUAUGUUAUUACCUUCUGUUGAAGAAUUUCGUUUGCUGAUUUAAGUAUGCUUUCCUGCACAUCAAGAAAAUAUAUUGUCAUCUUCUGUUUUACAUCUUGUGCUGAGACUACCUUUUUCUUAUGAAUAGAAACAAAAUAUGUACUGAAAUUAAAGGAGCUUCUGUUCAAACAUCAAGGAAGAUUAUGAAACAUUGAGGCUGACCUUAUUUUUAAGAACUUGAAUUUCUUGCUGCAUGAUCUGCAUCUGAUAAAAGAUGUUUCAAAUUGGUUUUGUGCCUAAUGUGAAAAGUUUGAAAAUAGAAGGGGAGUCUUGCCUUUGUGGAGCGUGUUUGCCAAUACCAUAGUUCAAGACCUUUCUCUAGCACAUGCAGUCUAUCCAGUCUCAUGUUCUCUUCACCCCCUCCAAUGGACCUGCUUUGAUUUAUUUGUCACUUUACAGCUGGAUGAGGGUUUUAUACAUGUUGGAUACAAUUUUUAAAUACAUUCAGUUGGCCGCAGAACUCAUUGUUGAGGCUUUUCAUGAUUUUUGUAAUCUAAAUUCAUACAGUCAAAUUUUAGUCUCAGAUUUUCUCGAGUACAGAAUAGUUAGAGCUAAUAUGCAAGAUUAAUUUCUUUUUGAGUAACUUGCAUCAUAGGUACACAAAAAUCCACAAACUAGAAAACCUGACAUUCAUGCACACAAAACUAGUGAGACCGUGUUAGGAGGUCCAAGUAGAGGUCUCCUGCUUGCAUGUCAUCCACCUCGGAUUAAGCAGUGACGUGUCAUUCAGUCACAUCCAAAUCACUUUUUUUUUUGUCUCUCUUUCUUCUCCAGCAGAUCUGGCCAUCACGCAUGCUCUCGCUUCCAUUGUUUCUCUAGUCCAGCAGCGUUGGUGCCUGCACGAUGCAAAUUUGGCCGGAGCAUGCUCCUUCUCCUAUUCUCUUGUCAUCGGCAUUUGAGGCAGUGGUUUCCUAGAUCCAUGACACGGCUCAGCCGAUUUCUAUGUCCUUCUGCUGCUGUUUUGUGUGAGGACUGAGGGCACGAGUUUCAAGGUGGACCAGGGUAAUGGAUAUUAGGUGGUGAUUUUUCAUGGAGCCUCUCCCCUAUAGUGAAUUUGGCUAGUGCCACAAGCAAUGAGUUCAGGGAAACAUGAUGGGCUGGCUUGGAAACCACAUCAGCCUAAUAAAACCACCUUUGGACUUUAUAUGCUCGGUUUUGAGUUCAUGUAUUUAUAUAUGUCUAGUUUCUUAGUAUAUGGAUCUAGAUGCACCCAUCACACAAGUUUAUGCACCUAUGAUGCAAUUUAUUCUUUAUUUUUCUAGUAUUAGCUUCCUGUUAUUAGUGUCUUGGUGAGUAUGUCAAGGUGAAGUGGUCAUGUUUGCUACUUUACUUGGCGUUACCUCCUAGGAAGUAUUUCCAAAUCUUAUUAUCACCCAUUGGAUCCCUUGGCUGGAAUAGCAGUGGACCAGUAACUCCCUAUUUUCCUAGCAAUCACUUCUAAGAUUUCUCUGCUCCAAACUGUUUGUGCAGAACCUAACAAUUUGAGAACCAAGCACCACAACUUAAGGCAACAUGCAACUUUAUUGGUAUUUUAGCAUGUGUUGCAUUGCCUGUUGGUCAUGCCGUAUUGCAGUUGCAGUUGUACUAGGAUCAUUGUCGAUGAUUCAUGGCAGAAAGCAAAAUGCCAGUUUGCUUAAAGUUUUACAAUUCACAAGUCAUUGCUGGGGAUGAGCAGCACAAGCUGCAUACUUGGCUAUUCUUGAUAUCUCCAUAGAUCACUACAGCCCAUCUACUAUGCAAGUCAUGUAUUGGUUUAUCAUCUUGAAUAUGAAGCUUACCUUGAACCAUGCUGUAGUAGACCUAUCUCAUGCCUUAACAAGGAAAUCCAUUGCUCUGUUACCUUAUGUUCGAAAAAGCGUGAUUAAGCGCGGUUAAGCGCUGAGCGGAGGGUCAGCGCGUCGCUUAGCAGCUAAGCGCUCAAUUAAGCGUGGCGCGCGCUUAAUCGAGCGCGUAACCGCGCACAGGCUCGUAAUCGCGCGAGGCGCGCGCGUAACCGUGCGGAAAAGCGCCGCCCGCGAGCAGAGAAGGGAAGAAAGAGGCCGCAGGCGCGCCGCGCGGGAAAAAUUGGCGCGCAGGCGGGAAGGAUUGGCGCGCAGGCGGGUGGAUUAGUCGAAGGACGCGGCCAAUCGAUGUGCCUCCAAUCCACUAUUCUCUCUUAUUUCUCCGCGAAACUGCUGCGUCCGCCCCUCCGCCGCGGCCACCCCUCCGCCACGGGCCUGCCCCUGCAGUCGCCGCUGGCGUGCCGCGUCCGCCGCGGGCCUCCUCCACCGCGGGCCUCCACUGCGGGCCUCCUCCACUGUGCGUCGUCCCUCUGAAUCUGCUGUGCGCCGUCUUCUGCUCUGCUCCUCUGCUGUGUCGCCCACCCUCAGGCUCCUCUGUUGUGUCACCCACCCUCAGGCUUCAGCCUUCAGGUACACCUGCUGUCAAGAAAAGAAGAGGACAAGAGACAAGAAAUUACUGCUAUAACCUUCACUUUGGAUUGGCCUUGAAGCAUGGCACUAAUCGUAAGCAGGCACUGGCUUCGCGUUCCUCUCAAGUCUAACACACAUGCAGUGACACAACCUGCUUUUAUAUAGCAAUCCACCUUCAAGGGAAUAUGAUCUUUGGCCAGUAUUGGUUGCAUUGCUGCACGCCACUUGAAAGCACCUUGCAGGUCAUUGUACAUCUUUAUUUAUGCUCUUAUAUAUUCUCAUCAAUAUUGUAAUAUGCUAUAGUUUGUAUACUGGCUGGAUGUUGAUGUUAUGAUUAACUUAACUCAUCUUGUAAGACCCUGUUCCACAUGUACGGACAAUCCCGUUGUUUUCCCCA